UAAGGAAUAUUGGUCAAUGGACGCAAGUCUGAACCAGCCAUGCCGCGUGAAGGAUGAAGGUCCUCUGGAUUGUAAACUUCUUUUAUCUGGGACGAAAACGGGAUUUUUAUCUCAAUUGACGGUACCAGAGGAAUAAGCACCGGCUAACUCCGUGCCAGCAGCCGCGGUAAUACGGAGGGUGCGAGCGUUAUCCGGAUUUACUGGGUUUAAAGGGUGCGUAGGUGGGCUUAUAAGUCAGUGGUGAAAUCUCCGAGCUUAACUUGGAAACUGCCGUGGAUGCUAUAGGUCUUGGAUUAUCGUGAGGUGAGCGGAAUAUGUCAUGUAGCGGUGACAGGCUUAGAU
rnacentral:rRNA from 1 species